CAAAACAAAGGGAAGCAGCUCGAGAUCGAGUCAGAGAGAGAGAGAGGGAGAGGGAGAUGGGCGGUAGUGAGGAGGCGGCGACGCGAAGGGACCGAUGGGGGUACCCAGUGAGGACGGCCUCCGGCGCCUGCAUCGACGCGAUCGACGCCUACUACGUGCAGGUCCUCGCCUACGGCCGCGACCGGGCUGUCAUCCUCCGCGCGGUCACCCACGAUCGCUCGUGCACCCUAGCUAACGCCCUCGCGGCACACUUCGUGGCGACCAAGAAGCCCCAGGAGGCCUCCCGUCUACUGCAUGCCGCCAACGCUUCUUUGGGCAAUGCUACACCGUACGAGAGAGCAGUGGUCGCAGCGAUCUCAUGUUUGGUGGGCGAUAAAAAAGACGAGGACUUGGCGCUUAAUCGGCACAUCGAGCUAUUGAAGGAGUUUCCUAAGGAUAUGUUAUCACUCAAGAGAGCACAGAUCUUAUGUUUCUACUUGGGUCGGCCUGUUGUGUCUCUUAACAUAGUUCAACAGGUGCUUGUACACAAUGAAGGCCUUAGCUAUAUCUACGGUAUGCUUUCUUUUCCAUUGUUGGAGCUUGGGAGAAUGACUGAAGCUGAGGAAGCUGCAAGAAAAGGAUUGAGUAUCAACAGUUGUGAUUUCUGGUCACAACAUAAUUUGUGCCAUGUUCUUCAAAAUGACUGUCGUUUCAAAGAAGCCACAAGUUUCAUGGAAGCUUGUUCUUCCUCAUGGGAUUCCUGUUCAUCUUUCAUGUAUACACACAACUGGUGGCAUGUUGCUGUUUGUUAUUUGGAAGGUGAUUCUCCUUUAAAUAGGGUUCUUGAAGUUUAUGAUGAAAAUAUUUGGAAGGGAUUACUGAGAAUUGAUGCUGAGCCAGUAGAAGUGUAUAUCAAUGCUUUAGGGUUGCUGCUUAGAAUCUACCUGCGCGGCCAUACCCAUGAUAUUGUUGAUAGGCUGAAGUUGCUGACAUCUGCUUUAAAGGAUCAGUCCAUAUGGCAUGUUGAAUGGUUGCUAGAUAUACUGGCAUUGUGGGCAUUGGCUUGCACAAAAGAGACAAAUAGAGCAGAGGAUUUACUUCACUCAAUUAAAUCGAGAUUUUCUACAUGGAGCAGUCAGAAGCAAAAGUCAAUGCAAGCUGCAGUACAGGUUUGCAAUGUUUAUUUGAUUUCCAUCAUGUUGGUAUCUAUUUGUCAAAUCUCUAGGCAUUUCCUAGAUGCUAGAGGAAAACUAUGGCCUCUACUUGAUGGAUUAUAUUAAGACAAAAUUCUCAAAUCGCGCAUUAGGUGCAUCUAGUUUUGUUAUCACCCAAUGCGUGCGCCUCCCAAAAGUAAACAACCUAAAAUAAUCUCUCUCAUUUCAUUGGUUAUCUCAACAUAUGUUAAGUAGAGUCUAGUCAAUUAAUGAAUUAUUCAGUGACUACUAGAUUGACACUAGUUUUUAUAAGCUAAAAUAAUGAUUUUCACCUACAUGGACCUACACAUAUUCACAUUAAAAAAUGGUGACAUGAAUGUCUUUGUGGGAGUCCGAGAAGUGCACUGGGGUCUUAGAUUUACAUUUCUACAUGUGGAGGUUUAUCAAAGUGAAUCUCAAUGGAUCCACAUUGCUCAAAAUGAAAGUUUGAGGGCAUGUAUGUGUUCAUGGGACCUCAAAGAGCACAUUGAUGAUUGCACAUUUGCAUUUUGACACCUAAAUAUCUAUUUAGGUGAAAUGGUUAUUUUACUUUGGAUCUUCAAUUCUCAAAAUGCAAAUAUGAAAGCGUGAAUGGUUUCCUGAGACCUCCAGAAGCACAUCAACAUGUAGAUGUUUAUUAAGGUAAUAUGUUCAUUUCACCUUAAUAGACCUACAUUGUUCAAAAUAUAAGUGUGAUGGCAUGUUUAAGUUCCUGGAUCUCUAGGAUCACAUUGGUAGCCUCAUAUUUGCAUUUUUUACUUACGGAGGUCUAUCAAGGUGAAACAAUAAUUUUAACUCGAAACAUUUCUCUUAUAUAAACUUACAUCUGGAAGCUAGUGUGAGGAAAUGUAUGAAUUUCUAGGAUAGAGAAAGAGAAGAUGAGAGCCGGAGGCACUGACUUUGAGACUUCAUGUGUCAUGAUGAGAAGGAUGGCGCGGCGGUGGGUGCAUGAGGCAUGAUUGGGCUAUACAGAUGGUCAAAUCAUGAUAUUGAUGUGUGGAGCCAGUGGGAGAGUUGCCGCAUGGGGUGUUGUGAGGAAGAAAGUUGAUAGAGGAAGAAAAAGAAAAACGAGAGGUGACAAGCUUGCAUGGAAGGAGAUAUUGCAAGGAUGAUUGGCAUGGAGAAAAAACUGUGGGAAAACGGUGGCUUAGGGAUGUGGUAUUAUUAACACACAACACAGAUACCCCUAUAGCAUACAAAAUUACAUCAUUUCCAUGACAAUCAGUAUAGUCCAAUUCUAUCACAGAUUUCUUGUUCAAAAUACUAAAACUGCUAGGUGUAAAUCACCUUGGAUUCAUACUGAGUGCUUCCUUUGAGUACACUAUGUUUCUACAUGUGACGAUAGUUUGCACUUUCAUUUGAAUACGACCAUCUAACUGCAAGGUUGAUUCAGCUUGCAGAAGCUAUUUAUGAAUAUGGAAGGAGUAACUUCUUUAAAGUCUUUGAUUUGCUUGGUCCAAAUUUUGAUGCCAUUAACUUCAAAAUGAUCGGAGCAUCUGAUGAACAGCUUGAUGUCUUCAAUGAAGUUUGGUACAUAGUCUUGCUGAAUAGCGGACAAGUUCCCAAAGCUAUUGAAGCCCUGAAAAAGCAAGUUAGCAAAAGGCCAGGAGCACCUUUUCUUUGGCGGUUGCUGGAACAUCUGAAUGUCAUAUGUCUCUCCAAAUUUGAAGACCUCCAUGCUCUUCUAGAGCUCUCUUGUUCUCCCUUUUUCAUAUUUUGAAAACACUUCCAACGAACUUGCUCAAAAUGUAUAUGAUAGAGACUCAUUUCUCGUGUUCUUCUUUUUCCUGCCUUGCGCCCGAUAAAAAACAACACUGGUUACUGCGACCGCUACUUAUUCGAUGAAAUGCAAAUAGAGCAUCAGUGUGUGUAUUAUCUUUCAGAUGAAUGAAUGCUACAUGUUCCUAAGUUAGCUUUGCCCUUCAUAGAGCACCUUAAUAUGCACUUCAUGUGUGUUUUAUCCAGGAGAAGGCAUAUUCUAUCGAAGGAAUGCCCGAUCAGUUUCUCGCGGCCGAAAAGGCCAAGACUUUGGGAGCUGCCUAUUUCAGGUAAGUCGCGAAUUGUAAGACUAUGACAAUAAUGAUGCCUCAGAGAAGGGCAAAAUGUAACUGUUAUUCCUUCACACAAAUACAAAGACUUCUACUACUUUGUUCUUGCUAAAAGAUAUCGAGUGAGAAGAUUGGUGAUGUUCAUGUGGAUA